CCUCAAUGUUGCCGUACUGAGCAAAUAAAAAUACAGGGGGCCAGUUCAAUGUGACUCUCCAACAAACAAUGAAUAAUUUUUUUAGUAUAAGUGUAUCCCUAAUGGGCUGUGGGGUACACUUAAACUUUUAAAAAAGUACUCAUUGUCUGUGGGAGACUCCAAAUGAACUGGGCCUCCUGUAUUUCCUCUGGCAACCCUACCUCUGAAGAGCCCCGUCCAACAUCGGUUUUUGUUUUUGUUUCCAAAUUAUAAGAGAAAGGUUAUUUACAAAGUUACGGAGGUGAUGGAAGCGAGCCAGCUGGGCUGCGGAGGCCGGGGAGGCAAGCUGCAGAGGCAGAAGGAGGGCCCCUGGAGCCCGGGAGAGAGUAAGGCAAAGCAUCAACAUUCUUUACCUCAUAGACCAAGAUGGCUGCUCUGCCUCCUGCCUGCACAUCACUGUCCCAGCCGGCACAGGAGAAAAGAAGGAAGUGGCACGCGUCUCCUGGACUCUGAGGCAAUGCGCAGCUGGCAGUGUGUCCCGGGCGGAUCCCCUGAACCUGUCCCCAAGGCCCCCUUUCCUCCGACUUCCCAGGGAGCUCAGGCAGCCCGGCCCAGCCUCUCCCGUGGCUUCUUCUGUGCGGAGCCCUUCCUUGGGUCACUGCCCCCAGCUUUAGUAAAUGGGUCCUCAUGGUCCCCUGGACUUGUGUUGUGAAACAUGUCCUGCACGAAGUCAAGAACCCACACACGACAGCUGGACUUCGGCUGAGACCGCCCAGAAAGGGGCGUUCUGGAGCCGCUGGGGGCACCUUGCCUCCGCCCGGGGAAAGCCUGCGUGAGAACGGAGGCGGAGUGGAGGGAAGCGGAGCCCGGCGUCGGAGGCGGGAGGAGUUUCUGACGCUGCUCACACACUGCGAUGCCACGAAAGCCCACACACUUCAUGUUGAUGUUUGCCAGCUAGUUGCUCCCUUAGCUGGGGUCCGCCAGAAAGGGGGGCCUGGGGCAAAGGCCUGUUUGCUACUACUUUACAAGGGGGUGUGAUCCCCAAGGGCAGAAAUGAGAGAUGGGGGAGGAGGGGGAGGAGCCACUAUCAACACGAGGAAGCUCCAUCUGGCAGGGCCCUCCUCACAAAAGCCACCCUGAGUUCAUCUCGGGACAGUCCGAGGGGGGAAGAAGGGUGAGAAGUGAUCACUUGCCACACCUCCCAGUGCUUAAAGUUUUGCCUAAGGGGGAUAAACUCCCCAAGUUGUCCAUGUGGCUUAUGGAGACCUUGGGAACACUAGAACUUACAGUAUUCGGAGAAGACGGCCAGAGUGAAACAAGUAACUACCCAGCGGUGACUCUUUUGAAGAAGCAGAGCGGGGUGUUAUGGAAGGCGGUCAGGAAAGGCCAUCCAAAAAGGGGGUGAAUGCAAACGUAGACCUGAAGGAGCAGCAGUUAGCCGGGCUGAGGGGGUGCCGGUGGGGAAGAGCCCCCGGGAAGAGAAGACAGUAGACAGGAGUGUGUUUGGGGAACUACAAGAAGACCAGCAUCCUGCAGCAUUUAGAGAAAGGCAGAUCGGUAAGCAUUUAUGGAGCGCCAAGUAUAUACAAGGACACAGACCCAAUUGCAUUGGUUGCCCCGCCCCUUCCCCCCUUUCUCAGGGAGCUGGGCCUUCUUCCUUCCAGCCAGCACUUUGCAGUUACCAUAGGAACAACCUCCAUCUACCGUUGGAGCGCAACUCUCUGGCCACAGUUGAUUGGACUAGAGGUGAACACCUCAGCAAGGCUGGACCAAUCAGAGUCCUGAUCCCUGGAGACCGGGCAGAUGGGGACCAAGAGCGUGAUAAAGCUUUCAGCACAGGGCCGGACAACUUGCACGUCCAUUAGAAGAUGCUGACAGCCAGGGUUUUACGCUAGAGGACCAGGGAGCAGUGGAAGACACUCUGCAGACAGGAGGUGUUGAUGGGACAAAUGCAAGAGCUGCAGACCUGUGAGAGAAUUUGAUUUCUGUUCCUCCAAGACGUAGCUGCACCCCUGCCCUGGGGCUCCUCGAAACAAAGCCCCCUUUUUGCUUAAAUAGCAUCUAGUGGGUUUUUAUCUUUCUCAAGGAAACAAGCCCUGGCCAAUACCUUGUUAAGUGCUAGGGUAUUAUAGAUGCUUAAAAUGUGGCAGGGUCUCUUCCCCGAAGAAAGUCAUAAACCAGCGGGAGAGGCAGACACACACACUAAACAUUAACCACAGGGUGUAAGUGCUAUAAUAAACGUUUGUUCAAGACAGGGAGGUUGUGCACAGAGAAAUUACGAUAACAGAUGUAAAAACAUUUUGAAAAGAAAAACAUGGUAUGCACGUCCUCCAAAAUCAUACAGGGGAAAUUGAAUUGCAUAUCUGUUUUCAUUUUAGUCAAGAACACAGCCACUCUACUUGCAGGAUGACACUGUUUUACAAGGCAGGUGCUGGCCUGUUAGGUGGCAACGGGUAAAUUAUCCAGCAUCUCAUGCUUUUGGCUCCUCGUCUGUGUUUGGAGAUCGGGUGAAGAAAUGGCAUUAUCAUCUCCCAGACAACUGGGAGGCACCUGCCCUUGCUGUGCCGGCUGCAUCAGCCUCUCCUUGACUCCAUGAAAUGAAAAGGCUGUGGACUCAGCUAAAAUGCAAUCUCACGAGUGAAUCACCGGUGGAGGCGUUCACUGACGGGCAUGCCUCAGCUGCGCGAACCACGGGUGGUGACAUUAUGUCUGGACAGAAGGUGUGACUGCAUCCACCUAAACAGUCUUCAAACUCACCCAGUCCAAAAAUGGAAGCAGUUUAUGAAAGAGCAACGACACCUCAUUGAGAAAUACCUUCCCUCCACCCUUGUCACUGACAGACAUCUGCUUACUCCUGCUGAACUUCUGAUGGCAGCAGUGACAGCAGGAGCAUAGCUUCAGGGCACCCUGGUGCACGGGAACUGAGCAGCUUUUGGUGUCAAGCUGACCCAGGUUCAAAUCCCAGCUCUACAGACGGCCAGCUGAGGGGUCUUGGGCAAAUUACUUAACCUCUCCGAGGCUCCGUUUCCUCAUCUGUCGAAGGAAGUAAAAGACACUGAUAAAAGACCAGCUGUGGGAGUGGAUGGCUAAAUAACAGAACCUGGUGGAGCUGUGGGGGUUAAAUGAGAGAAGGCCAGUAAGCACAACCUAGCAGGAAGGGGAACUUAAAAAACUGUUUUGUUUCCUUCCACACCUGACCUGUGGACAUGAACAAUUGGGGGGACUGC